CCCUAGCUCAUUCCAUUUUUUGUUCUCUUCUUCCCUAGCUCAUUUAAUUUUUGUUCUCUUCUUCCCUACUCAUUCAAUUUUUUGUUCUCUUCUUCCCUAUCUCAUUCAAUGUUUUGUUCUCUUCUUCCCUAUCUCAUUCAAGUUUUUGUUCUCUUCUUCCCUAGCUCAUUCUAUUUUUUGUUCUCUUCUUCCCUAUCUCAUUCAAUGUUUUGUUCUCUUCUUCCCUAGCUCAUUCAAUUUUUUGUUCGACCUCAACCUCUUCAUGUAACACAUCUCGUCACAUUUUUGUUCUGGUUUGACUCAUUUCUUGUUUAGCCUCAAUCCCCUUUGUGCUACGUACCCCUUGUUCAUCCUUCUUCCAGUAUAAUUCAUUCCUUGUUCCACUUUAGUCUCAAGUAACUCACCUCUUUUUCAUCUCUGUUCUGGUUUGACUCAUUUCUUGUUUAGCCUCAAUCCCCUUUGUGCUACGUACCCCUUGUUCAUCCUCCUUCCAGUAUAAUUCAUUCCUUGUUCCACUUUAGUCCCAAGUAACUCACCUCUUUUUCAUCUCUGUUCUGGUUUGACUCCUGCUUUGUUUCACACCUUAUGCUAAGUAUCUGAAUCACUUGUUAAUUUUUUCUCCAACGCAUCUCCUUCCUUGUUCCAUAUCAGCUUCAAAUAACUUAUAUUUUUAUUAUAUUUCUGUUAUGGCUGGCUCAUUUCUUGUUCCAUCUCAACCUCUUCAUGUUACACAUAUCUUGUUAAUUUUUGUCAUCCACUUAAUACAAUUGCUAUUCCACAAAGGAUUUAACAGGUAAAACCUAGAAAGUGAAAUUAGCUCUUUCCCAAGCUUAGAUGUUGAAAAAACCUUGUUUUAUGGAUCAAAAGUCAAGGCAUAUUGUGCUCCAUUUUUUCCAUAAUCUGUAGGGCAGACUUCGUAGAACACAAGCUGAGCUUAUGCCCUGGAAAAGCACGUAAUGUAUGUUUAGGCUUAUUUGCAGCACAAUCAAAAGCUACUUAACAAACUUAAUGGGUUUCAAAUGAACGUGACUUGAACAUUUGUGACUUAUAGUAAAUAAACAAACGCAAAUUACACAUCAGUUCUGUAAAACGUAUGCAUCACACAAGGCCUAAUCUGCAAACGAAGAAUAUGUAUAUAUAAUGUAACUGAAUUCUGUAAUUCUCCAAGUAAGUUAUACUUACAUACGAGUGUGUAUGAAGGAGUAUUAGCUAAAAUAAUCCUUAACUUUUCUCAUUCAAUCUUCGGGUAUUGUUUUCGUUAGACGUAGUAAAACUAUGGAAGACUCAAGUAGAUAAUAUGAAAUAAUAAAAUGUAAAUUAAUGUGUUGAAAUAAUGGAUUACAAGUUUCCGUGGGAAACAUGUAGUGCCCCGUUUUCUGGAAUUUUAUAGAUUUAGAAGAUUGUCUUUAUAUAUAUUAUCAAUCCAACGUUAGGAGAAGUAUGUGAUUUAUAGAAUAAGGCCAUUUUCUUCUAUUGAUUAACAUCUGGGUAAAAUGACUAUCGUUUCUUAUCCUCUGUAGCAUGUAAUUAGAUGCUUAAUACUUCCAACAUAAUCUUGAUGGACAGAGUACUUAGUCUUCAGACUAUUUUAUCUCUCUUUAACAUUUUAUGUAGUAUUUUCAGCAGCUUAAGGCUUAAUUAUAAAUUAUUAGAAGCUUGAAUGUAUUCCAACUUAUCUUACAGCUACGUUGACGUAUUAUUACAUCUACGUAAACGUUCAUUCAAAUAUUAUGGUUUGGUUCUCAGAAAAUCAAACAACCAUAGCUGUUUACUGGCUAAUUUUCACUCGCCAAUGUUCAUGGUUCACUGUGCUGACCUCUAGCUGUACUAUUUGGGUUCUUAUGAAUCUCUGUUCUGUUCUUUCGCUGUACCACCUGAAAUCUUAUGAAUCAGUGUUCUGUUCUUUCGCUGAUCCAUCUGUAAUCUUACUAAUAACUGUUCUGUCCUUUCACUGAAUUAUCUCGGUUCUUAUGAACCACUGUACUAUCAAGAUUCUUAUGGUUCACUGUAGUGACCUCUUGCUGUACUAUCUGGGUUAUUAUGAAUCACUGCACUGAUGUCUCGCUGUACCAUCUGGCAUCGUAUGAAUCAGUGUUCUGUUCUUUUGCUGCACCAUAUGGGAUCUUAUGAACCACUUUUGUGUCCUUUCGCUGAACCAUCUCCGUUCUUAUGAACCAUUGUACUGAUCUCAUGCUAUACCAUCUGGAUUCUUAUGAAUCACUGUAUAGGUUUUCAAAAGUAGCACAAUAUUAUGAUACAACCAGAUCGACUGUUAAAUUAACAACUUGGAUAUUACAUAUUACUAAGUUGGUUUUCUGCAGAAGCAAGAUAUUUGGCUAUUAAUAGCUUGGAUAGUAUAAAUUACUUGAAUCUGUUAAUUGAUAUACAAAUUUUGCGAUCAGCAGUAACGUAGAAUAUAAACCAUUAAGUUAAAUACAAUUAAGAAUUAAAAUAAUAGUAUAACCUUUGGAAUAUGAUAGUAAGAUACAUUUUUCUUUACAAGUAACCGUUAUUCCACUCGUUCUCCUCUUUUCAGUUGUGAUUAUUGUUAAGGUGAUGAUAUUUUAAGUACUCAUUCUGAUAAUAUCCUCAGCCUAUGAUAUAUAUAUAUAUAUAAGCCAUUAUUGGCGAGUUCAUACCAUUGUUGGUAAGGUGAUACUAUUUUUACUAGAUUUACGCUCUUUGGUAGGCUGAUGCUAUUAGUAGUAAGGCUGAUGUUACUUGUAGAACCAUACUAUUCUUGACUGAACCAUACAAUAUUGCCAAGUUAACUAUUACGUUAUCAUUAGUAAGAUUAUGCUGUUAUAUUUAUCACACUCGUUUAAUUGGUAGAAUUAACCAGUUAUUGAUAAGAUGAUGUUAUUUUCGGCAAAAUGAUGCUACUGUUACCACAUUUAUGAUACUGGGCAGGAUCUUAUUAGUAAAUAUUUCUACUGUUAUUACUAUGGUGAUGUUAUUUGGCAAGACGUUACUGUUAUAAGAAAGAUAAUACUACUGUUAUCAGAGCAAUUUUAGUUGGCAAGGUGAUGUUGUUGCCGCUAACACUGUUAUUGUUAUCACGAUGACGUGAUUUGGUAGGAUGGUGUUAUUAGUAAGAUGACGUUACUGUUACUAAGGUAAUUUAUUUAGCAUGACGGUGCUGUUGUUGUUAAAAUGAUAUUUCUGUUACCACGAUGAUGUUAUUUGACAAAAUGGUGUUAUUAGUAAUAUGAUGUUACUGUUACCAUCAUGAUGUUAUUUUGUUAGUAAGAUAUGAUGCCGUAGCAAAGUGGCAACUCGUAUAACUUUAAUAAUCAAUAAUACAACUUCAUUUUAUUUUGUUAUAAUUCACACUAGGUUUCUAGAUCUAACUGUGAAUUACUAAAACGUUCCCAUUUGUUAAGCAAUGUUCAAGUACAUUAGCUCAUGAGAAGGAAUAUAAUUGAAGUAAUGACGUUGUCUAGUCCCAUUUGUUAAGCAGUGUUCAAGUACAUUAGCUCAUGAGAAGGAUUACAACUAAAGUAAUGACGUUCCCAUUUGUUGAGCAAUGUUCAAGUACAUUAGCUCAUGAGAAGGAUUACAACUGAAGUAACGAUGUUCCCAUUUGUUAAGCAAUGUUAAAGUACAUUAAUUAGCUCAUGAGAAGGAUUACAACUGAAAUAAUGACGUUGUCUAUUCCCAUUUGUUAAGCAAUGUUCAAGUACAUUAGCUCAUGAGAAGGAAUAUAAUUGAAGUAAUGACGUUGCCAUGUUGCUUAAUGUGCACACAGGAGAUCUAGUAAUACCUUAGGAAGAAAACGUAAUCACCAAGAUAAUUUUACUGAAAUAAACAAAUUCUACAACGAACGUUCUCAGUGUAAGCAAGGCUAUGUUAUCCACAGAGACGCUUUUUAGAUUCUCAGUAAUAUAUGUGAGAGAUAUAGUUCGAUUUGUUUUUUUCUCUUUAGGUGUCAUAAAACAAUGUUAUUAUUGAAAAUUAUUCAUUUUCGUCAAAUAAAAUAAUUCAUUAAAGGAUAAUAUUUUAAGAAAUGAAGUUAGGUAAGCAAUAUGUUAUGUUUUAGAAAUGGAGUCACCUGAAUAAGAUGGGGCAGCGUCAAAAGUAAAGUCACGUGAACAAAACACAAUAAUGUUGCAAGCAAAUUCACGCGAAUGAAAUACAGUAAUGCGGAAAGUAAAGUCACGUGAAUACGGUGAUGUAUUGUAGAAAGUAAAAUGGCGUCAACACUUUCGUAUUGAAAAAAAAGUACAGUCACAAAAAGAAUAAUAUUAAUAAUUUUUUGUAAGUAAAUCUAUUUAAAGAUAAUGUAAUAUUUUCGAUAUAAGUGUCGCGUGAACAAAAUGUUGUUAUACCGAAAGUAAAAUAAGAAAUAUUAAAAUGGAACAUUAAAUAAUUGAA